GACGAACCGUGCGAACGUUGUUCGGAAUCACUGGGCUUAAAGGGCGCGUAGGCGGCUCGCGGGGUCGGGGGUGAAAUCCCAUCGCUUAACGGUGGAAGUGCCUUCGAUACCGGCGGGCUCGAGGAAGGUAGGGGUGCGCGGAACUUCUGGUGGAGCGGUGAAAUGCGUUGAUAUCAGAAGGAACGCCGGCGGCGAAAGCGGCGCACUGGACCUUUUCUGACGCUGAGGCGCGAAAGCCAGGGGAGCAAACGGG
rnacentral:rRNA from 1 species